AGAGUUUGAUCAUGGCUCAGAACGAACGCUGGCGGCGUGCCUAACACAUGCAAGUCGAGCGCGAAUGGAGCAAUCCUAGUAGAGCGGCGCACGGGUGCGUAACACGUGGGUAAUCUGCCUGGGAGUUCGGGAUAACCAGUCGAAAAGAUUGGCUAAUACCGGAUAAGCCCACGGGGGACUUCGGUCCCCUGAGGGGAAAAAGGUGGCCUCUGUAUACAAGCUAUCACUUCCAGAUGAGCCCGCGGCCCAUCAGCUCGUUGGCGGGGGUAACGGCCCCACCAAGGCAACGACGGGUAGCUGGGUCUGAGAGGACGAUCAGCCACACUGGAACUGAGACACGGUCCAGACUCCUACGGGAGGCAGCAGUGGGGAAUUUUGCGCAAUGGGCGAAAGCCUGACGCAGCAACGCCGCGUGUGUGAUGAAGGUCUUCGGAUUGUAAAGCACUUUCGACCGGGACGAAAACCCCUUGGCUAAUAUCCAGGGGCUUGACGGUACCGGGAGAAGAAGCACCGGCUAACUCUGUGCCAGCAGCCGCGGUAAUACAGAGGGUGCAAGCGUUGUUCGGAAUUAUUGGGCGUAAAGCGCGUGUAGGCGGCUUUGCAAGUCGGGUGUGAAAGCCCUCGGCUCAACCGAGGAAGUGCGCCCGAAACUGCAGAGCUUGAGUGCCGGAGAGGGUGGCGGAAUUCCCCAAGUAGAGGUGAAAUUCGUAGAUAUGGGGAGGAACACCGGUGGCGAAGGCGGCCACCUGGACGGUGACUGACGCUGAGACGCGAAAGCGUGGGGACAAACAGGAUUAGAUACCCNNGUAGUCC
rnacentral:rRNA from 1 species